rnacentral:rRNA from 1 species
AUUGAACGCUGGCGGCAGGCCUAACACAUGCAAGUCGAACGAGUGGCGGACGGGUGAGUAAUGUCUGGGACACUGCCUGAUGGAGGGGGAUAACUACUGGACACGGUAGCUAAUACCGCAUACCAUCAGAUGUGCCCAGAUGGCAUUAGCUUGUUGGUGGGGUAACGGCUCACCAAGGCGACGAGCCCUCUCUGGUCUGCGAGGAUGACCAGCCACACUGGAACUGAGACCGGCCCCAGACGCCUAAGGGAGGCAACAGUGGGGAAUAUGUCACAAGGGGCGCAAGCGUGAUGCAGCCAUGCCGCGUGUAUGAAGAAGUCCUUCGGGCUGUAAAGUACUUUCAGCGGGGAGGCGUUACCCGCAGAAGAAGCACCGGCUAACUCCGUGCCAGCAGCCGCGGUAAUUC